GACGAACGCUGGCGGCGUGCUUAACACAUGCAAGUCGAACGGAAAGGCCCUGCUUGCAGGGUACUCGAGUGGCGAACGGGUGAGUAACACGUGGGUGAUCUGCCCUGCACUUCGGGAUAAGCUUGGGAAACUGGGUCUAAUACCGGAUAGGAACCAUCUUUAGUGUGGUGGUUGGAAAGUUUUUUCGGUGUAGGAUGAGCUCGCGGCCUAUCAGCUUGUUGGUGGGGUAAUGGCCUACCAAGGCGGCGACGGGUAGCCGGCCUGAGAGGGUGUACGGCCACAUUGGGACUGAGAUACGGCCCAGACUCCUACGGGAGGCAGCAGUGGGGAAUAUUGCACAAUGGGCGCAAGCCUGAUGCAGCGACGCCGCGUGGGGGAUGAAGGCCUUCGGGUUGUAAACUACUUUCGCUAGGGACGAAGCUUUUUGUGACGGUACCUAGAUAAGAAGCACCGGCUAACUACGUG
rnacentral:rRNA from 1 species